GGGUGCAGCUCAGUGGUAGAGUGCCUGCCUAGCAUGCAUGAGGUCCUGGGUUUGAUCCCCAGUACCUA
rnacentral:tRNA from 1 species